AUGAACGCUGGCGGCGUGCCUAAUACAUGCAAGUCGAGCGAACGGACGAGAAGCUUGCUUCUCUGAUGUUAGCGGCGGACGGGUGAGUAACACGUGGAUAACCUACCUAUAAGACUGGGAUAACUUCGGGAAACCGGAGCUAAUACCGGAUAAUAUUUUGAACCGCAUGGUUCAAAAGUAAAAGACGGUCUUGCUGUCACUUAUAGAUGGAUCCGCGCUGCAUUAGCUAGUUGGUAAGGUAACGGCUUACCAAGGCAACGAUGCAUAGCCGACCUGAGAGGGUGAUCGGCCACACUGGAACUGAGACACGGUCCAGACUACUACGGGAGGCAGCAGUAGGGAAUCUUCCGCAAAGGGCGAAAGCCUGACGGAGCAACGCCGCGUGAGUGAUGAAGGUCUUCGGAUCGUAAAACUCUGUUAUUAGGGAAGAACAUAUGUGUAAGUAACUGUGCACAUCUUGACGGUACCUAAUCAGAAAGCCACGGCUAACUACGUG
rnacentral:rRNA from 1 species